rnacentral:rRNA from 1 species
UGGGGAAUUUUGGACAAUGGGCGAAAGCCUGAUCCAGCAAUGCCGCGUGUGUGAAGAAGGCCUUCGGGUUGUAAAGCACUUUUGUCCGGAAAGAAAUCCUUGGCUCUAAUACAGUCGGGGGAUGACGGUACCGGAAGAAUAAGCACCGGCUAACUACGUGCCAGCAGCCGCGGUAAUACGUAGGGUGCAAGCGUUAAUCGGAAUUACUGGGCGUAAAGCGUGCGCAGGCGGUUUGCUAAGACCGAUGUGAAAUCCCCGGGCUCAACCCGGGAACUGCAUUGGUGACUGGCAGGCUAGAGUAUGGCAGAGGGGGGUAGAAUUCCACGUGUAGCAGUGAAAUGCGUAGAGAUGUGGAGGAAUACCGAUGGCGAAGGCAGCCCCCUGGGUCAAUACUGACGCUCAUGCACGAAAGCGUGGGGAGCAAACAGGAUUAGAUACCCUGGUAGUCCACGCCCUAAACGAUGUCAACUAGUUGUUGGGGAUUCAUUUCCUUAGUAACGUAGCUAACGCGUGAAGUUGACCGCCUGGGGAGUACGGUCGCAAGAUUAAAACUCAAAUGAAUUGACGGGGUCAUAGCUGUUUCCU